GCAUUAAUGGUCGAUGUUGUAUUAGUGUACUCGUUCAGUAUCCGAUAGUAAAUUUAGCAAAAUAUUUUGCACAAAUGUUAUCGAUAUCAAUGAAUAAUAACGCGCGUAACCGAUACAAGUAAUUAUUGCUAGUAACACAUCAUGUAAUUAGUUACGAUGUUUGCUUCAUAAAUUUUUUAAAACAAAAUGGAAACAUCAGGUUGUGGCUAUUUUGACAAUUAAAUAAUAAAACUAAUUAAUACUGCAUAUAAUUCGAUGGCUCAGUCCCAUUAUUAGUUAUCAAAAUCAAUUUGAAAAUGGGACGGAAAUGGAAACAAAAUGCGCAUUAUUGUAUAUUUACGGAAUCGUUUCAUUAAAAAUGAUUAGGCGGACUAAGCUUCUGUGACGCAAAUUAGACUAUGGAAAAAAAUCGGAAAAUAUUGGAAAAUAUGCCAGGGAUUGCCAAUUAUUCCUUUGACAAAUUUGUUGCUGUAUUAAGUAUAAUAAUCACGAUGUCUCUCCCGAAAAAAACAAAAAUUAGAACAUCACAUAUUUGCUUCGUUUAUUCACAAACUUUCGGAAUGUACAAAUUUUUUGUAAUAUUAAAAAUAGCUUACGAAAGUUCAACACUAAUUGAAUGAACAUUUAUUUAAGAAGACGAGGAAAAAAAAUCAUUUUAUGAAUUUUUAGACAAAUUAUCUUGUAUAAUAAUAUUUCGGAAAGAAGUGUAUCCAUCAAAAGAACACAAAGAUGAUAUAUACUCACUAAACGACCAACGAACAUGUUUUUUUAUCUCCAGUGAGUUGCGGGAAUCGUUAAUAAUUUUCACAGUACUCGUCAUUAACGAUGGGUACAAUCCCAUAUUUGAAAAAA